rnacentral:rRNA from 1 species
UACGGAGGGUGCAAGCGUUAUCCGGAUUUACUGGGUUUAAAGGGUGCGUAGGCGGGCCUUUAAGUCAGUGGUGAAAGCUCCGAGCUUAACUCGGAAACUGCCAUUGAUACUAUUGGUCUUGAAUUCGGUCGAGGUUGGCGGAAUGUGUCGUGUAGCGGUGAAAUGCUUAGAUAUGACACAGAACACCGAUUGCGAAGGCAGCUAGCUAGACCGACAUUGACGCUGAGGCACGAAAGCGUGGGGGAUCAAACAGG